CUCUCUCGCGCGACCAGCGGUAGCCUCCACCUCGUUUCUCCCUCUGUUCCAUCAUACCCAACCGUCUCUGUCGGUUUCUCCCUGUUCCUCGGUUCUCUGUCCGUACGACGAAGAAUGUCGCCGGCGUUCGAAUCGAUCGGUCGGUCUCCGCGCGCGCGGGGGGUCCCCCUUCCGUUACUUGCAUCCUCUCCUGCCCCGCAGAAAGAGCCUAUCCUCCCUGCCACCUUCUUCUUCGCCGUUCCCUCGGAUCUCCUCUACCAUAUUCGCCAUCAGCAUUACACGAGCGCACUUAUUUCUUCUCCGCACGCGUAGCCCGAGGAAAUGGCCGAGCAAUUUCGGAUUUGGACUGCCGAGAGAUGAUGGAUCGCCGUUUCGUAGGCCGCCACUGAUGAUACCUCGCAGAUGUAACCUCCACACCCUUUUUCGGACGAAACCACUUGCCGGUGAUUAUCGAUUAAACGCAUUCACGUUACCUCGAUUCUCUGCUCCUCGCGAUUUUCCUCCUAUUUUCUUUUCCUUCCUUUCUUUUCUCGCUUUCGUUACGGAUCCGCUCGACAUCUGGCUCGUGCCAAAACUCUCCUCCGC
rnacentral:misc_RNA from 1 species